GCUGUGGGUACCCAUCGUGGGAUUCACGGGGCGGGACCCCCACUUCCGCCACCGUCGGCCCUCUGCUGGGGCUGCUCUUGUGCGGGGUGUGAAAAUCCAUUUCGUUUGCCAAAGGGAGAAACUCCAUUUGGACCGCCUGCCCCCAGCAAGAGAAUGGAGAAACCAGAAAGGCGGUGCUAGGCUUGCUUCACGCCUGGAUGAACCGAGGACCGGGCUGAGCUGGGAGCCCCACGUUCUGAGCAGGGAGGGCAGGUGCAGGACAACGUGUCCCCUGCUCAAGUUAGAAUCGGUUAAGCAAAGCCAGGCAGACUCUGGAAUAGCCAGGAUCAGAGCUUAUUUCCCACCUGGCCUGACUUCACUGUGGUUCAGUUGCUAACUUGUGUCUGACUCUGACCCCAUGGACUGCAGCAUGCCAGGCUUCCUUGUCCUUCACUAUGUCCUGGAGUUUGCUCAAACUCAUGUCCGUUGACUCAGUAGUGCCACCCAACCAUCUCAUCCUCUGCUGUGCGCCUUUCCUGCUCAGUCUUUUUCGGCAUCAGGGCCUUUUCCAGUGAGUUGGCUCUUCACAUCUGGUGGCCGAAGGAUUGCAGCUUCAGCUUCAGCAUCAGUCCUUCCAAUGAAUAUUUAGGGCUGAUUUCUUUUAGAAUUGACCGGUUUGAUCUCUUUGCUGUCCAAGGGACUCUCAAGAGUCUUCUCCAACACUGCAGUUCAAAAGCAUCAAUUCAUCAGUGCCCAGCCGUCAUUAUGUGAGCUGUCCAACUCCCACAUCCGUACACGACUACUGGAAAAACCAUAGCUUUGACUAUACGGACCUUUUUUGCCAAAGUGGCGUCUCUGCUUUUUAAUCACUGUCUAGGUUAUGGCCGCCCACUCCAGUGUUCUUGCCUGGAGAAUCCCAGGCACGGCGGAGCCUGGUGGGCUGCUGUCUAUGGGGCCCACAGAGUCGGACACGACUGAAGGGACUUAGCAGCAGCAGCAGGUUGGUCAACGUCAUGCCUUCUGCCGCCAUCUGCAGUGAUUUUGGAGCCCAAGAAAAUGAAAUCUGCCACUGUUUCUAUUGCUUCCCCAUCUAUUUGCCCUGAAGUGAUGGGAGCGGAUGCCACGAUCUUGGUUUUUUUGAGUGUUGACUUUUAAGCCAGCUUUUCCACUCUCCUCUUCCACCCUCAUCAAGAGGCUGGGCCAACUCAGAGCCAUGGUUUUCCUGUGCUGCUGCUGCACCCCUGCCCACUGGCUCUCAAGGGUCAAAGGGGGUCCUGGGCAUCUCACCAGCCACACGAGGCACUCGAGGACCAGCAGAGCACUGGGCCCCUGCUGGGAUGGCCCUGAGUACAGUGGACCCCGCCGUUUCCUCCCAGACCUCGGGCGAAGUCACUUUAAGGAGGCUGGAGGGUGGUGUCUGUGAGCCAGAUCCUGUCUUCCCCGUUCAACAACUGUGGGAACGCCAGCGGGCGACCUCCCUCUGUGUGUCCUUGUGUGAAGAAUGAGGGUGAUGAUUCUUUCGCCUUGUGUGAGAAGCCUUCUGAGAUGGAUUUCCCAGGAGAGCUCUAGGUUCAAGCCUGAGAUCGGCCUGUGUGUCACUUGGCCAAGUCUUGUCUGUCUGUGUCGGCAUCUUAGAGCUGGGCUGCAGUUUGAUCUAUUUUGUCCAGCACGCUAAGCCAGCACAGUAAAGCCGGGCACCUUGUGCAACAGGGCAGGUCUGUCUGCCUUUGCUCACGUCUUCUGCAUAUGGAUGAAACCCAGCAGCCCUCUGUGGCAAGGAACGAGGAGCCUGGAGUGCCACCCCUGUGCGUGGUGAGGCUGGUGUGGGCAGUGGGGGAAAGGGUGGUUCCCACACCAGAGACACACCGCCCACGGCGAUGGGCUCGGUUUCACUACUGUUUCUGAGAAGAGUUACUCCAGGAAGGUAUUCCUCUAGGUCUUGGAACUCCCUUGUCUGGAUGUGGGUGUUGUUGCCCGGCCAAGCAGUGGCACAGCCAGCUUCUCUGGGUGAGAGGCUGAGCUGAGUAGAAUCUACAAAAUCAAGACGUAAGUUCACACCACAUGCUUCUUUUCUAGAAGGAGCAGGCCGUUCUCACCCCAUGGGGGUGAGACCGCAGUGACUGGGGGGCCAGGAGGGGAUGACAUUCGUUUCCAGACAUUCAGUGCCCUGGAUUGGCUCGUCACCAGUGAUCCAUGGGCAGACCUGGCCAUGCCACCCAGCUCCUUGUCCCAGAAUACCAGCAGCAGUUGGAGGUUUGUACAGGACCAGGAUGAUCACCUGGACAAACAGGGAGGCUCAAGAAAUCUCUCUGUAACCUCAUCUGUCAUUAGUGCGAAGUCACUUCAGUCGUGUCUGACCCCGUGGACCAGCCCACCAGGCUCCUCUGCCCAUGGAGUUCUUCAGGGAGGAUCAGGGUGUUACACAGCAGAUUUGUGAGGACCAAUAGCCCAUAGGCAAGGAAUUUAUUUAUUAGAGGCUGUAGUCCUUCCAAGGAGCGGUGGCUGCAUAGGCGCAGGAGGGCCUAAAGAAGCUAUCCCACGUUGAAGGUCAGGAAGGGCAGCGGUGAGGAGAUACCCUUUGUCCAAGGUAAGGAGCAGCGGCUGCACUUUACUGGAGCAGCGGUGAAGAGAUACCCCAUGCCCAAGAUAAGAGAAACCCAAGUAAGAUGGUAGGUGUUGCAAGAGGGCAUCAGGGGGCAGACACACUGAAACCAUACUCACAGAAAACUAAUCAAUCUAAUCACACUAGGACCACAGCCUUGUCUAAUUCAAUGAAACCAAGCCAUGCCCGUGGGGCAGCCUAAGACGGGCGGGGCAGCCUAAGACGGGCGGGUCAUGGUGGAGAGGUCUGACAGAUGUGGCCCACUGGAGAAGGGAUUGGCAAACCACUUCAGUAUUCUUGCCUUGAGAACCCCAUGAACAGUAUGAAAAGGCAAAAUGAUAAGAUACUGAAAGACAAACUCCCCAGGUCAGUAGGUGCCCAAUAUACUACUGGAGAUCAGUAGAGAAGUAACUCCAGAAAGAAUGAAGGGAUGGAGCUAAAGCAAAAACAAUACCCAGCUGUGGAUGCGACUGGUGAUAGAAGCAAGGUCCGAUGCUGUCUGUGGUAUUGGAGAAGACUCUCGAGAGUCCCUUGGACUGCAAGGAGAUCCAGCCAGUCCAUUCUGAAGGAGAUCAGCCCUGGGAUUUCUUUGGAAGGAAUGAUGCUAAAGCUGAAACUCUGGUACUUUGGCCACCUCAUGAGAGAAUUUGUUUCAUUGGGAAAGACUCUGAUGCUGGGAAGGAUUGGGGGCAGGAGGAGAAGGGGACGGCCCAGGAUGAGAUGGCUGGAUGGUAUCACCGACGCGAUGGGCGUGAGUCUGAGUGACCUCCGGGAGUUGGUGAUGGACAGGGAGGCCUGGCGUGCCGCGAUUCAUGGGGUCGCAAAGAGUCGGACAUGACUGAGCGACUGAGCUGAGCUGAAGUCCUUCCUGAGCUUCUCUUCUGAGGGGAUAUUGUUUCUGGUUUUGGAAAUCGAGUGGGAUCUCGGAGGACAGUGAUGGCUAGUUCAGCCAGGUGGGCUCGCCCAGGAGCCCCCUGGUCCCACAGCUGGGGGUUAAUUUUGUCCUCCCAUACGUUUUGGUCCCUCCCUAUUGGAGAGGGUGCAAUGGGUUCCUCAGUAGUAACCAGGAGCUGUAGGGCUGAGAGAGUCAUUUCCUAGGCAGGCUGAUAAGAAGUCUAGGGGUCCCCAAGGAGAGAGGGGUCUGGAAUUCUCAAGGAGGAAGAAAGAACACACUCUAUUUCCCUCUACAUUCCUUAGGAUUAUAUGACAAUAAUGUGUCCUGCUUGAGGACACUCUCUAGAUUAAACCUUCUGGCGGAACCUGUUAUCUUAAAAUGUAAAUUAUGGGAGUAGGUCUGGUGAGGUCUUUACAAGGAUUAUAGAACAAUAAUGUAUCCUGCCUGAGCAGUUUCUGGAUUAAAUCUUCUGGCUAAUCUGUUAUCUUAAAAUCUAAA
ensembl:lncRNA